rnacentral:rRNA from 1 species
GUGGGGAAUUUUGGACAAUGGGCGAAAGCCUGAUCCAGCCAUGCCGCGUGCAGGAUGAAGGCCUUCGGGUUGUAAACUGCUUUUGUACGGAACGAAAAGACUCCUUCUAAUAAAGGGGGUCCAUGACGGUACCGUAAGAAUAAGCACCGGCUAACUACGUGCCAGCAGCCGCGGUAAUACGUAGGGUGCAAGCGUUAAUCGGAAUUACUGGGCGUAAAGCGUGCGCAGGCGGUUAUAUAAGACAGAUGUUAAAUCCCCGGGCUCAACCUGGGAACUGCAUUUGUGACUGUAUAGCUAGAGUACGGUAGAGGGGGAUGGAAUUCCGCGUGUAGCAGUGAAAUGCGUAGAUAUGCGGAGGAACACCGAUGGCGAAGGCAAUCCCCUGGACCUGUACUGACGCUCAUGCACGAAAGCGUGGGGAGCAAACAGGAUUAGAAACCCUGGUAGUCC